AACGAACGCUGGCGGCGUGCCUAACACAUGCAAGUCAAACGAGAAAGGGGCUUCGGCUCCGAGUAAAGUGGCGCACGGGUGAGUAACACGUGGGUAACCUGCCUCUAAGAUUGGGAUAACUCGUCGAAAGAUGAGCUAAUACCGAAUAAGACCACAGUUCCCGCGGGAACAGGGGUCAAAGGUAGCCUCUGCUUGCAAGCUAUCACUUAGAGAUGGGCCUGCGCACCAUUAGCUAGUUGGUAGGGUAACGGCCUACCAAGGCAAAGAUGGUUAGCUGGUCUGAGAGGAUGAUCAGCCACACUGGAACUGAGACACGGUCCAGACUCCUACGGGAGGCAGCAGUGGGGAAUAUUGCGCAAUGGGCGAAAGCUUGACGCAGCAACGCCGCGUGAGUGAUGAAGGCCUUCGGGUCGUAAAGCUCUGUCGGGAGGAACGAAUGCUCCUGAGGUUAACAGCCUCGGGAGGUGACGGUACCUUCAAAGGAAGCACCGGCUAACUCUGUG
rnacentral:rRNA from 1 species